rnacentral:rRNA from 1 species
UACGUAGGGUGCAAGCGUUAAUCGGAAUUACUGGGCGUAAAGCGUGCGCAGGCGUCUGCAAGACAGAUGUGAAAUCCCCGGGCUCAACCUGGGAACUGCAUUUGUGACUGCAAGGCUGGAGUACGGUAGAGGGGGAUGGAAUUCCGCGUGUAGCAGUGAAAUGCGUAGAUAUGCGGAGGAACACCGAUGGCGAAGGCAAUCCCCUGGACCUGUACUGACGCUCAUGCACGAAAGCGUGGGGAGCAAACAGG